ACCCUCUCUGAAGAAUGACUGGCAGUUAAUGUUUCUGGGGGAGGCUCGGUGGGCAAUUUUCUUCCGUGAUAUAGCUGCUGCUGAUUUGUCCACAUAAUUUCUUGCUGUAACAAAUGCUGGGCUGGAACUUGAACCCUUUGGGGUGCUGAGAUUACAGGCCACUGAAACAGCUCAACAUUCUACCCCUGUUGUAUCUCAUAUUGCCACCAGGGGGCGCCUAACACUUCUAAUGUCCUUGCAAUGAGACUAAGGUUUAAUAAAAGGCUUGGAAUGUCAUCCUA